rnacentral:ncRNA from 2 species
GGUUGGAUGGCUAAAACGCCAUUUCAAGAUAACAGGCUUCUGGGGUGGGAAGCU